rnacentral:ncRNA from 1 species
CAAGCAGUGGGAGGGGAAAGUGAUCUCUGACCGCGUGCCUGUUGAAGAAUGAGCCGGCGACUCAUAGGCAGUGGCUUGGNNNNGGGAACGGAACCCACCGGAGCCGUACCGAAAGCGAGUCUUAAUAGGGCGAUUGUCACUGCUUAUGGACCCGAACCUGGGUGAUCUAUCCAUGACCAGGAUGAAGCUUGGAUGAAACUAAGCAGAGGUCCGAACCGACUGAUGUUGAAGAAUCAGCGGAUGAGUUG